rnacentral:rRNA from 1 species
CCAAUAGCGUAUAUUAAAGUUGUUGCAGUUAAAAAGCUCGUAGUUGAAUUUCGGGACCAAUAUGUCGGUCGUGCUUCGGUACGUACUUGCAUUAUUGGUUUCUCCCUUCUGACGAACCAUGAUGUCAUUAAUUUGGUGUCUUGGGGAAUCAGGACUGUUACUUUGAAAAAAUUAGAGUGUUUAAAGCAGGCUCACGCUUGAAUACAUUAGCAUGGAAUAAUGAAAUAGGACGUUUGAUUCUAUUUUGUUGGUUUCUAGGAUCGACGUAAUGAUUAAUAGGGAUAGUUGGGGGCAUUAGUAUUCAAUUGUCAGAGGUGAAAUUCUUGGAUUUAUUGAAGACUAACUACUGCGAAAGCAUUUGCCAAGGAUGUUUUCAUUAAUCAAGAACGAAAGUUAGGGGAUCGAAGACGAUCAGAUACCGUCGUAGUCUUAACCAUAAACUAUGCCGACUAGGGAUCGGAUGAUGUUAAUUUUUUAAUGACUCAUUCGGCGCCUUAC